rnacentral:rRNA from 1 species
CCUACGGGAGGCAGCAGUGGGGAAUAUUGGACAAUGGGGGGAACCCUGAUCCAGCCAUGCCGCGUGUGUGAAGAAGGCCCUCGGGUUUUAAAGCACUUUCAGUGAGGAAGAACGCCUGGUGGUUAAUACCCAUCAGGAAAGACAUCACUCACAGAAGAAGCACCGGCUAACUCCGUGCCAGCAGCCGCGGUAAUACGGAGGGUGCGAGCGUUAAUCGGAAUUACUGGGCGUAAAGCGCGCGUAGGUGGCUUGAUAAGCCGGUUGUGAAAGCCCCGGGCUCAACCUGGGAACGGCAUCCGGAACUGUCAAGCUAGAGUGCAGGCGAGGAAGGUAGAAUUCCCGGUGUAGCGGUGAAAUGCGUAGAGAUCGGGAGGAAUACCAGUGGCGAAGGCGGCCUUCUGGACUGACACUGACACUGAGGUGCGAAAGCGUGGGUAGCAAACAGGAUUAGAUACCCUGGUAGUC